AAAAAAAUAUAAAAUUCAGGUAGUAUUAGAUGGCUUAAAACUUAAAAAUUUUGGCGGUGUUUUAAUCUUAUUAGAGGAACCUGUCUUAUAAUCGAUAAUACACGACAUAUCUUACUUAGAUUGGUGGUUUGUAUAUCGUUGUGGUAAUAAUACUUUAUAGUUAUUAUUAAAUGUAAUUUUAUUUUUAAUAUCAGAUCAAGGUUCAGCUUAUGUCUAAGUAUAGAUGGGUUACAAUAUAAAAAUAUAUUUAUGGAUUUUAUCAUUAAAAGGUAAAUGAAAGAGGAUUUGAAAGUAUUUUUGUAAUAAUUUGUUAAAUUGAACUAGCUCUAAAAUAUGU
rnacentral:rRNA from 1 species